UAAUUAUCUUCUUCAAAAUUUACAUCAAAGUACCGACAGUUGUAAUUUGAAACUCAUAGGAUAAGUGUUCUGAAUAGGUGGCUAAAGUGAAUUUUUAUUUUUAUUUUUUUGUGCUUUAAUUUGUCAUUUUCCACGCUACUUUAGAAAACUUUACGAUGCAUGGCAAUCUUGAUAGCCUAUCUCACAACUCAACGUGGGAAAGGAAUCGACAUCUUUACAUUGAGUUGAAAGACGCACAGUAUUACUUGACUUUUGAAUGAAAUAUACAGUGCAUUUUUAAUCAUUAAUUUUUAUGCAUUUUGGAUCAGCUAGCUUUGCAAAUUAAGGAAGAACAUAUGAUGAAGGAAAUAAAAGAGUAUGGGCGGGCACUUCUUCGAUCGUAAGAUGAUGCCGCCCCUUAUGCUGAGGAAUUGAUAGAAUUACUGAUAGGAUUUGCUCCUGAAUGUACUUCAUGCAACGCUUUCCUUUUGACAUGAUGACUUCCUUCGACAGAUGAUGAAUAGUACAGCUGCUGAUGACAUGAAAUACAUCAAGAAAUGCAUGUGCGAAAGAGAAGAGAAACAUAAUCCUAGUUUGUAUGCUGUAUGAUCGGUCAGUAGUUACCUUGUCCCGAAAAUUAUUUGAUGCUCCUCUUAAUUUCUUAGUCUUGGUCUCCAUAUCUGAACAAACACACGUUCAUGUCAAGUAGUACUCAUCAGAAUAUGUUUAUUUUGUGUAUGCGGGCGAGAGAGAGAGAGAGAGAGAGACAGACAGACAGACCUUGUAGUUUUCUUGUGACCAAACUUGAGUGAGCAAACAGAUCAUGGGAGACUAGAAGGAUUAGGAGAAAAAACAAAUUCAAGUUCAUAGUGUUUCAUUAAUAAGUGAAAAAUCAGGAUAGAAUAAUGGUGAUCAACGAUAAGAAGAGAGAGAGAGAGAGGGAGAGAGAGAGAUAGGGUCCAAUGCAAUGCAUAGGGAGAUGAUCAGUUCAGAAAGUUUUAUAUAGACGAGAAAAGAUAGUAGUAGUACGACUACCAGAAGUGCACGCACACGCAUGUGUGCAUAUGAACCUCAUCCUUAUAUAUCACAGGAGAACUACUUAUGUAGCAAGGGUACACUGCCACGUGACCUCUCAUGCCAAUGAAACGAUGGCAUAUGAACCAAAACUUACACAUAUUUUUACUUGGCUCAAGACGUCACCGUGACAGUGUAUAUGUGCCAUAUAAGUCCUCCCAUUGCAGGCUUCAUUCAGGAUCGAUUCAAGUUUGAUUGGUUGUUUCAGCCUUUGGUCAGGAAUGUGAGUAGAGACGAAAAGAGGAUGACUAGACCAACGUGUCGCAUUUGGAAAAUUAUGCAUGUAACAAGGACAAUGCGACUGUGACCAAAUGAAAUAGGUGAAACUUGACAAGGAGUGAUAAGUUUGGAACACCGCCAACUUAGUGUCUAAAUUGCACGUAAGUGUCUUGUGGUUUUGUUUGUAAAUGUCUUCAGCUGAUCGUGUUUCUAUCAGGACAGGAUUUUCAAUCAAACGCAACAAAAGCAA
rnacentral:lncRNA from 1 species